AAUCAACGCUGGCGGCGUGCCUCAGACAUGCAAGUCGAACGAUUAAAGCUCUCUUCGGAGAGUGUAUAGAGUGGCGCACGGGUGAGUAACACGUAAGUAAUCUACCUUUGAGUGGGGAAUAACCCGGGGAAACCCGAGCUAAUACCGCAUAAUGCAGCGGCAUCGCAAGAUGACAGUUGUUAAAGGAGCAAUCCGCUUAAAGAGGAGCUUGCGGCAGAUUAGCUAGUUGGUAAGGUAAUGGCUUACCAAGGCUACGAUCUGUAUCCGGUCUAAGAGGACGGUCGGACACACUGACACUGAAUAACGGGUCAGACUCCUACGGGAGGCAGCAGGUCGGGAAUUUUGGGCAAUGGGCGAAAGCCUGACCCAGCAACGCCGCGUGAAGGAUGAAGUAUUUCGGUAUGUAAACUUCGAAAGAAUAGGAAGAAUAAAUGACGGUACUAUUUAUAAGGUCC
rnacentral:rRNA from 1 species